AUUGAACGCUGGCGGCAGGCCUAACACAUGCAAGUCGAGCGGAUGAAGGGAGCUUGCUCCUGGAUUCAGCGGCGGACGGGUGAGUAAUGCCUAGGAAUCUGCCUGGUAGUGGGGGAUAACGUCCGGAAACGGGCGCUAAUACCGCAUACGUCCUGAGGGAGAAAGUGGGGGAUCUUCGGACCUCACGCUAUCAGAUGAGCCUAGGUCGGAUUAGCUAGUUGGUGGGGUAAAGGCCUACCAAGGCGACGAUCCGUAACUGGUCUGAGAGGAUGAUCAGUCACACUGGAACUGAGACACGGUCCAGACUCCUACGGGAGGCAGCAGUGGGGAAUAUUGGACAAUGGGCGAAAGCAUGAUCCAGCCAUGCCGCGUGUGUGAAGAAGGUCUUCGGAUUGUAAAGCACUUUAAGUUGGGAGGAAGGGCAGUAAGUUAAUACCUUGCUGUUUUGACGGUACCAACAGAAUAAGCACCGGCUAACUUCGUG
rnacentral:rRNA from 1 species